rnacentral:rRNA from 1 species
UGCCAGCAGCCGCGGUAAUACGGAGGGUGCGAGCGUUAAUCGGAAUUACUGGGCGUAAAGCGCGCGUAGGCGGUCUGAUCAGUCGGAUGUGAAAGCCCUGGGCUUAACCUGGGAAUUGCAUUCGAUACUGUCAGGCUAGAGUAUGGGAGAGGGAAGUGGAAUUUCCGGUGUAGCGGUGAAAUGCGUAGAUAUCGGAAGGAACACCAGUGGCGAAGGCGACUUCCUGGCCCAAUACUGACGCUGAGGUGCGAAAGCGUGGGUAGCGAACAGGAUUAGAUA